rnacentral:rRNA from 1 species
AGAGUUUGAUCCUGGCUCAGAACAAACGCUGGCGGCGUGCCUAACACAUGCAAGUCGUACGUGAAAGUUCCGCAAGGAACGAGUAAAGUGGCGAACGGGUGAGUAAUACAUAGGUAAUCUACUUAUAAGUUCGGGAUAACAGUUCGAAAGGAUUGCUAAUACCGGAUAAAGUGCUUAGUCAAAAGAUUAAGUACCAAAGGUGGCCUCUUCACAAUGCUAUCGAUUAUAAAUGAGCCUAUGGACCAUUAGUUAGUUGGCAGGGUAAUAGCCUACCAAGACAAAGAUGGUUAGCUGGUCUGAGAGGAUGACCGAGACCACACUGAACUGAAACACGUCC